AGGCCCUGGGGAUUGGGUCACUGUACCCUGAACCUUGCCCUCCUGAUGGCUCUGCUGCUCUCAUCUCCUGGAGGGAACCAGGCCGUGGCUGGGCUCCUGCUUCUGCUGCUGCCAGCAUCACGUCUGCAGGCUGGGCGGCUCCAUCAGGGUCCCCUUCUCCUUCCCCUGGGAACUGGCCAACGAUCGGCAGAUGAGGAUUCUCUGGAGACGGAGCACUUCCAUGGGGGAGUUUAUCUACAACGCCACCCUGCCUUUCGUACAAGAACAUUUCAAGGACCUAGUCACCUGACCUGGGCAAUGGGUCAGACGUCCAUCUUCCUCAGAAUCUUGAACUUGCAGGCGAAGGAGCAGACCAUGUGCUUCUUCCCUGCUCAUCUGAAACAGAGACGGCAUGAAGGAAUGGCAGCCACCGAGGGACCGGAGCUCACUAUCUAUAGUGAGCCCAUGUGGCUCAGGCUCCGAUGCCCCUGGAAGCUACCUCAGGCUCCACAUUCUGACCAUUGUUUCCGUCCCCUGCCUCUGCCUGUCCUCUGACAACAUUGUCUUUUCUCUUCCCUGCAAUCAUCCCCAAGUCUCAGCUGCUUCCUCUGACCUCGCCCCUCAUCCUGCCCUCAGACCCAACUGCUCUGCUCUUCAAGUUCUCCCUCUUCUUGUUCCAACCUGGCACUGUGACCCUGCUCAUAAUGACAGCAUCGCUCAGACCUGAGUCUUUCCACAGUCGUGGUGGCAGAGAACAGGGCUGAGCCUUCUUCUUCCUUCUGAGGAACAUCUGCUGCCUGAGCUUCCUUGGGACAACACACAAGGCAGACCCUGUCCUUGACCCAGCACACAGCCUCCCUGACGAAGCCCCGUCCAUCUCUUCCCCUUCUGUCCACCGCUUCCCUCAGCCCACACCCCAAAUAAAACACCAAGAUAAGCCGCUCCCAGAUACGGCCGUGAUGGAGGUAAAGGGAGGCUGGAGAAGGUACUAGACAUGUGGAGGCCUGCCAUGUAGAGAGGACACUUGAGUCAUGGCUUCUGCCUCACGAGGGCUUUGCAGUGGCCAUUGUCUCCCCCCAGGACGACGGCAUCACCUACACUCUCCUCACCCUCUCCUGUCCAACUACUCCUGUGCCACCCAAGGAGAGGCUGCCUACUCCAUCCUAACCGCCUAGUAAGGGGGAGUGGGCGAUGCUCUUAAAGUCACCUGUGCUUGUGGUAGGGAGACUCCCAGCUUCCACCAUACCCUCAUCUACAGAAGAAACUCAAGAGUCAGUGAAUCUGAAUGUCACAAAGAAUCUCCCCAAAACUACCAGUUCCCCCUUCAACUGUCUAUAUGCUACUAAAACAAAGCAAAACAAAAAAACAAUGGUACCCACAAAAGUUGGCUAAGCCUAAAUAGAGAGCUAUGUGUCACCUUCAACUUCCUUCCAAGCCAAAGCGGACUCCGACAGACAGCUCCCAUCCAUCACCCCCCAUAGUACUUUUUCAAAGGACUUGGUAUUUUUAUUGUGUUUUUCUGACAUGGGUCCUCAAGUCAUCCAUGCUGGCCUUUAGCAUGAGAUGUAGCCAGGGAUGACCACGAAAACCGUAUGGCGGCAUCUCUCGGCCGCUGUAAUUAUACACGUGCGUCACCACACCUGGCUUCCUCUACCGCCUUCUUUUUCCUCAUUUUUUUUUCACAGACUGUCUCAGGCCAGGCAACCUAAAUUCUCAGACUCUGGUAACCAGCCUAGCAGCCAACGUCUGUCCCCAAGGGAACCAUUAGGUUCUCUUGAGACCAAUGAGAGACUCACUCCCUACGGGUUUGGCCACGGGUUAAGCACCUAAAUGUUGUUAGAGAGUUGAUUUCUGGGUAAGUCUGCCAUAGGCCCCUCUGAUGUUUCUCCCGUUUUGAACAGCCUGAGAGUGGGUUUGGAAACUAACUGACCUGGCAAGUCACAUGACCAUUUGAGGAACAGCUUUGAGGCCCCUUCUCUGUGUCCAGCUACCUGGACGAGGAGUCAUCCUGUGGAUGACUGGCAGUCUGUUUGUGUGAGCACCUCAGGGAUGCCCAGAGGAGACACCACCCCAGCUACCAAGUGACCACGGCUGCUGCUGGGCGCAGCAGACGGAGAAAAGACACGGAGGAGUGACUCUGAGCACUGGGGUCUGGCUGGUUCACUUUGCAGGUGCCUCUAACAAUGUAUGUAAUCAUUAAGAGUCAAGAAACACCCUUUGCUGGAAGAGAACAUAGCAAAAGGAACCUUUUCCUGGACAGCUGUUUUAAGCUCUAAGGUGGCUUCAGUUGGAGCAAAGUUGACGAAACACCAAGAGCACGUCGAUUGCCUGCGUGACCUCCAGACUGUGAUGUUGUUUGUAUUUCCGAGACAGGGUUUCUCUGUGUAGCCCUGGCUGUCCUGGAACUCACACUGAACCCAGAAAUCCACCUGCCUCUGCCACCUGAAGGCUGGAAUUAAAGGCGUGUGACAA